AGAACGAACGCUGGCGGCAUGCCUAAUACAUGCAAGUCGAACGAGAUCUUCGGAUCUAGUGGCGCACGGGUGCGUAACGCGUGGGAAUCUACCCUUGGGCUCGGAAUAACAGUUGGAAGCGACUGCUAAUACCGGAUGAUGACGAAAGUCCAAAGAUUUAUCGCCCAGGGAUGAGCCCGCGUAGGAUUAGCUAGUUGGUGAGGUAAAGGCUCACCAAGGCUACGAUCCUUAGCUGGUCUGAGAGGAUGAUCAGCCACACUGGGACUGAGACACGGCCCAGACUCCGUACGGGAGCAGCGAGGUAGGGAAUAGUGGACUAAGUGGGACCAACCGUGACUCCAGACAAGUGUCCGCGUGAGUGAGUGAAGGUCCGUUUAAGGGUAGUAAACGUC
rnacentral:rRNA from 1 species